rnacentral:rRNA from 1 species
GACGAACGCUGGCGGCGUGCUUAACACAUGCAAGUCGAACGGUGAAGGUGGGAGCUUGCUCCUGCUGGAUCAGUGGCGAACGGGUGAGUAACACGUGAGUAACCUGCCCUUGACUCUGGGAUAAGCGUUGGAAACGACGUCUAAUACCGGAUACGAGCUUCAGCCGCAUGGCUAGGAGUUGGAAAGAAUUUCGGUCAAGGAUGGACUCGCGGCCUAUCAGCUUGUUGGUGAGGUAAUGGCUCACCAAGGCGACGACGGGUAGCCGGCCUGAGAGGGUGACCGGCCACACUGGGACUGAGACACGGCCCAGACUCCUACGGGAGGCAGCAGUGGGGAAUAUUGCACAAUGGGCGCAAGCCUGAUGCAGCAACGCCGCGUGAGGGACGACGGCCUUCGGGUUGUAAACCUCUUUUAGCAGGGAAGAAGCGAAAGUGACGGUACCUGCAGAAAAAGCACCGGCUAACUACGUGCCAGCAGCCGCAGUAAAAC